rnacentral:rRNA from 1 species
CCCGCUGAACUUAAGCAUAUUACUCAGCGGAGGAAAAGAAAACAACCGUGAUUCCCUCAGUCAGCGGCGAGCGAAGAGGGAUCCAACUCGUUGCCGAAUCGGGGACUGAAAGCCCUUGAGUUGUGGCAAACAAGCGGUGCUAUUGGGGCUUGGCUUGGUGGAAUUCAAACAGUAAAGCAAACCCAUUGCUGAAUUUCGCAACCCUUCAAGCGAGUAUUGAGCCAAAGAAGGUGUUAGCCCAUUAAGCCAAUAACCAAGCCUCCAAGGAUUAACACCGUGUAGAGAGUAGCACUGCUUGGGAUUGCAGUGUCAAGAGGCAGGUAUUAGUCUGCCAAGGUUAAAUACAGAGUGGGAAGACCGAUAGCGAACAAGUAGCGUGAGCGAAAGUUUGAAAAGCACUUUGGAAAGAGAGUGACAUAGAACCUGAAGUCGUGACAAUGGCAAUGGAAGUACCUCCAUUCACCGUCAAAACCACCCUGCGCAGCAUUAUCCCUGUGGUGUUUGGCCAUGGGGCAACUUAAGUGCAGACCGCGUGAGGGAAUUGGUGAAAUGAGCGGGGGAUAAGGCGGGAGGAAAGCUGUGGCGUUCACAUCCUCGUGGUGCGGACGUUUCAGUGAAUACCCGUCCUCUCCGUGAUACUCAGAGUUGACAACGUUUAAAUGGGGUACUUUCACCCGUCUUGAAACACGG